AGAGUUUGAUCCUCGUCAGAUUGAACGCUGGCGGCAGGCUUAACACAUGCAAGUCGAGCGGUAAACUUCCUAGCUUGCUAGGAGAUGACGAGCGGCGGACGGGUGAGUAAUGCUUGGGAACAUGCCUUUAGGAGGGGGACAACAGUUGGAAACGACUGCUAAUACCGCAUAACCUCUGAGGAGCAAAGCGGGGGACCUUCGGGCCUCGCGCCUAGAGAUUGGCCCAAGUGAGAUUAGCUAGUUGGUAAGGUAAGGGCUUACCAAGGCGACGAUCUCUAGCUGGUUUGAGAGGAUGAUCAGCCACACUGGGACUGAGACACGGCCCAGACUCCUACGGGAGGCAGCAGUCGCGGGAAUAUUGCACAAUGGGGGAAACCCUGAUGCAGCCAUGCCGCGUGUGUGAAGAAGCGCCUUCGGGUUGUAAAGCACUUUACAGUUGUGAGGAAAGGUGUCAGGUUAAUAACCUUGCAUCUGUGA
rnacentral:rRNA from 1 species